rnacentral:rRNA from 1 species
UACGAAGGGGGCUAGCGUUGCUCGGAAUCACUGGGCGUAAAGCGCACGUAGGCGGAUCUUUAAGUCAGGGGUGAAAUCCUGGAGCUCAACUCCAGAACUGCCUUUGAUACUGAGGAUCUUGAGUCCGGGAGAGGUGAGUGGAACUCCGAGUGUAGAGGUGAAAUUCGUAGAUAUUCGGAAGAACACCAGUGGCGAAGGCGGCUCACUGGCCCGGUACUGACGCUGAGGUGCGAAAGCGUGGGGAGCAAACAGG